rnacentral:lncRNA from 1 species
AAUGUAAACAAAACACCUCCUUCUGUCUUUCUCAGCGUGUCUUUUUUUCUUAAUUAGAUUUCGCCCCAGAAUGAUCUUUUUAAUUAAGAGGAUCUCAAUUUGCUCAGGCGGCUCAACUGUUUACAAAGGAACUGGUCUCCCUUGUCAAGUGAGCAUUCUUUCUCCCCAGUUCCUUCAAAACUUCACAAAAGGGGUGGCGUCUCUCAGAAAGUCUGUAUAUGACAAAACUGACACAUAGGAUAAAUACGGCAAGACUGUGAGAGCAGAUGGGAAGGAGCAGCGCUCGCCCCACCAGAGUACGCAGGAAAUCAACGUGUGGCCCGGUCUCGCACUUGGGAGGGCAACCUUAUGGGACGCUUUGAAUCCCCAUUGGUGACCCGCAGUCCAAUCCACAUUCCUUGGCUUAUUUACGGGAGACGGAUAUAUUAGCAACAAAUGGGUUUAUGCAGGGGAUCGGGUGCUUUUAUUUGGAGCGUUGGAAAACUUCUAGCAAAAAAUCAGCUAGAAAGCUCCCUUACGCCCUCCGCUCCGAAAGCAGGAGACCCAGCUCUAAUGCGCGCUGCCCCUUAGCCAGGAGGCAUUUGCGCCUCUGGCUCUACUCCACCCACCCAACCUCACACGGACAAUCCCCUGGGGCUACCGGAGAUGUCCUCCAGAAAGCAGCAGAGCCAUGGAACGGGGUUUGAGCACUUAGCUUUGAGACUGGAUUUUUUAAAAGUCCCAAUACAAACAACACAACCAUUCCGCUCAGUGAGGACGGCUGAGGUCUCGGCGCAGCACGCGGGCUGCAGGGGGCUCUGCGCAUUGCUCCUAAUUCCUCUGACCCCGCUAAUGCGCCCUCCGAUGAGGGCUCCGUACCUUGAAAAGGACACACCGGCUUUUUGCACAUGACACGAAAAAUCCGACUUAAACGCAUCCGAUUGUGAACUCUGCUCUGUGGCCGGGCAGGAGACGGAGAGAAUUAAGAAAGUUCCUGAAACGAACCGUAAGAAGUUGGGGUCGAAGAUGCAUUAUUUUUUUACAGUUAUGCGGAAUGGGGUGUAAGGAUAGUGGGGCGACAGUUUUCUCCCUGACAAAAAUACCUUGGGGCGGGAGAAGAUACUCACACGCAUACUCCAAAGUUGGACACUGUUUUAAAUCAGAGAAGCAAUUUAAUCUACACUCUAUGAAUCAAUUUAGUGAUGACCGCAGUGCAAAAGCGCCGUGACAGAUGCCGAACGGCAAAUAGACCUUAUGCAUGUGGAAUCCGCUGAGCUAUUCUUUAAUAUCUUAAAAAUGAGGACUAUUACUGGGGCGAGUGACUCCUCAACAAACACAUUUUCAUAGACUUCUGCGUGGUGAUUGCUUUGUGUGAAAUCGUGUUUGGGUGAUAAUAGGGAAAAUCAGCGGCAUGUUUACUGCAUUUCCGACCUAAGCGCUCGCCGGCUGCCUCUGGACGCUCGCGGUCCUCCCAUGCUGAGCUGUGCGUGCGGGGCCGACAAACAAUCGCUUAGCAACACGAGGUGGACAAUUUGCGUGCGUCGCAUUUGUUAUUCCAAUUGCGCCAGGCGAUGCGGGGCCCUGAUGGUUUGUUUAGCACGUUGAGGACACUUGUGAGUUUCCGCCCGCCGAGGCGCAGUGCGAGCACCGAGCGCCGACUGCCUUUCCCGGGGCCUGCCUCCGCGCGGCUGCAGAUUGAAGGGGCAACCCGAUGGGGGAGGUCCCGCCGCGCAGGGGUGAGCUCCCCUAGAGCUCCGGCAGAGUGUCUGGAGCUGUGUGGCCUUGGGGUUCCUGUGACCCCCUUCCCGGAAAGUCCCCUCUGCGGCAGCACUCGCUUUUCCUUAUUUUAGACCCAGCUGAUGUAGGAACCCUGUCCUUGUCUGGGGGCGGAGGUGGGGACAGCACACUCCUUUGUCUCAAUGAAAAAUAAACAAGAAAAUGCCCCCAAGUUCAUCCCCAACCUCCUUGGCGAACGGAUGACAAUUACCAAGUCUCAUUAAAUGUUAGGGUUGCAAAGGGACCCAAUGAAUGUUGGUGUUGGUUUGAUCAACUAAAAUCCUGAGGCCUCCAGAGAAGGGAUGAUUUGCAAGGUGGCAAGGUUGGGUCUGCAACUCUGACGCUCAGAUUCUGUACAGGGCUCAGCUGGUACAGCGGAGGGCUGCAGGAAAGCACAGGCGCAGUAUAGCAGUUUGCUAAACCUGGUUAUUAAAAAGAACAAUGUUCCAGGUGGAAGGGGAGACGGAGGGGUGUGUGGAGGUGGUUGUCUGAUACUUUUAAAAACAUGGAGACACUUUUUUUAGGUCUGCGGUUGAAAUCUUGACACUCUCCUGAUUUGGCAUCUUUGCAAGAACAGGACGAGGAAUCUGCCCCAAGCGUCAGGUGGCACUUGUGCCUCUGCCCGGCUCAGACAAAGGUCUUAAAAGAUCCACUCACACGCGCACCGCAGCGCACACCCAGCCUCCAACACAAACGCAGGCAGUCACUGAUAAGUUGCAGCCUCUAGUUGUCGUCCAUCAACUGCCCUGUAGCUUUAAACCUGGGAAAGAUUGGUGGGGGAGUAUCUGCCCUGGAGCAUGGUGACUUAAGUCUCUGAGAACGGAACAACAAUAAAAAAGACUUCAUCCUAGUCAGUGGGAGAUGGAAGGUGCCUCACUUCUUACCCUAGACCUGACCUCUCUAAGGGGAGGGUCACACUCCCUCUUUGUUUUUAUUGUUAAAAAAGAAAAAAAGGAAAACUCUAUUCACUUCCCCAAAUUGAGACCCAUCUCCGUCAUGUCCUAAUCCCCAUUUACAACCACCUCUAGUUUGCGCAGCACUGGAAGGAGCAACUCUCAGGCCACAAGCUGGUGGCCGUGAGGACACAGAGGUCCACGCUGGGAGGCCUAGGAGGAGAAACGUCGCCGCCUGGCUCCACUGGGCCGCUUCUGCGCGCCGCCACAGUAGUGCCCUCGGACAGGACUAAACCUCCGUGCAAUGGCUCUUUGAAACCCGAACAGAAAUUGACAAGUGGGCUUUCCCCUUUGCCCCUGAGCCGGGGAGUGGGCAGCCCACUUACUUAGCCUUACGGCGGCGACUUCAGACAACUUUG